rnacentral:piRNA from 1 species
UAAGUGCUUCUUCCUCACAAGGACUU